AUGCUUAUUGAAUUGGAAUCAACGAGGCUAACAGAUGAGCAAGAGAGAGCGCUUCUGCUCCUUAGGUCCCUGCAAGAGCUCUGCUUUGUUGAAUGUGAGGAUCUCGUAUAUCUUCCUGCAGGCCUGCAUGGCCUCCAUUCCCUCAAUACGUUGAAGAUCACAUGUUGUAAUAGCAUCUCAGGGCUUCCGAAGGAGGGCCUUCCACCUUCACUGGAAAAACUGGAGAUCUACGACUGCAGCGACGAGUUAUCAGAAGGAUGCAGAUCACUUGCAACAAGCAAGCUAGAGGUCGAAAUUGAUGGGUGCUAUGUGAACUGA
rnacentral:rRNA from 1 species